UGGGGAAUAUUGGACAAUGGGCGCAAGCCUGAUCCAGCCAUGCCGCGUGAGUGAAGAAGGCCCUAGGGUUGUAAAGCUCUUUCACCCGCGAAGAUGAUGACGGUAGCGGGAGAAGAAGCCCCGGCUAACUCCGUGCCAGCAGCCGCGGUAAUACGGAGGGGGCAAGCGUUGUUCGGAAUUACUGGGCGUAAAGGGCGCGUAGGCGGUCUGUUGCGUCAGGUGUGAAAGCCCCGGGCUCAACCUGGGAGGUGCACUUGAUACGGGCAGGCUAGAAUCCGGGAGAGGAUGGUGGAAUUCCCAGUGUAGAGGUGAAAUUCGUAGAUAUUGGGAAGAACACCGAUGGCGAAGGCAGCCAUCUGGACCGGUAUUGACGCUGAGGCGCGAAAGCGUGGGGAGCAAACAGGAUUAGAUACCCCCGUAGUCC
rnacentral:rRNA from 1 species